rnacentral:lncRNA from 1 species
AGCUGGGAUAUAGUGGGGGAGGGGGCAGUGUCCCCUGGCCCCUCCUUACCUGCUCCCUCCCCCUGGCUGCAGGAAGGCUGGAGCAGGUGUGAGGAGCUGUGGGUGCAACGGCUCCCCCUACAGGCCCGGGAGCAGCGCGGCACGGCCCAGCUGGCCUCCCUCCUGCAGGAGAUGCACCGGCUGCUGGCGGACGGCUCGGAGCGCGCCAUCCUCGCCAGCGCGAAAAGCAGCAGCACGUCUGGGCGCUGAUCAAAGGCACCUCCUACAUCAAAUCCCAGCUCCGCAAGGACUAGGCCGAGGUGAGACACCCCCACCCGCCCACACUAUGGAGGAGGCUGUGGGGCGAGACUGAGGGGCACUGGCAGGGCUGCUGGAGUGGGCCCCAGGAUU